AGUCGGUCAUGAGGCUGAUGAACGUUGAGCAGGCUGAGCUAGGC
rnacentral:rRNA from 1 species